rnacentral:rRNA from 1 species
GAUGAACGCUGGCGGCGCGCCUAAUACAUGCAAGUCGAGCGAACAGAUAAGGAGCUUGCUCCUUUGACGUUAGCGGCGGACGGGUGAGUAACAUGUGGAUAACCUACCUAUAAGACUGGGAUAACUUCGGGAAACCGGAGCUAAUACCGGAUAACAUAUUGAACCGCAUGGUUCAAUAGUGAAAGGCGGCUUUGCUGUCACUUAUAGAUGGAUCCGCGCCGUAUUAGCUAGUUGGUAAGGUAACGGCUUACCAAGGCAACGAUACGUAGCCGACCUGAGAGGGUGAUCAGCCACACUGGAACUGAGACACGGUCCAGUCUCCUACGGGAGGCAACAGUAGGAGAUCUACCGCAAUGGGCGAAAGCCUGACAGAACAACGCCGCGUGAGUGAUGAGGGUCUUCGGAUCGUAAAACUCUUUUAUCAGGGAAGAACAAAUGUAUAAGUAACUAUGCACAUCUUGAGGGUACCUGAUCAGAAAGCCAAGACUAACUACGUG